rnacentral:rRNA from 1 species
UACAGAGGUGGCGAGCGUUGUUCGGAUUUACUGGGCGUAAAGGGUGCGUAGGUGGCUUUGUGUGUCGGGCGUGAAAGCCCACCGCUCAACGGUGGAACGGCGUCCGAAACUACAAAGCUUGAGUGCAGGAGAGGAGAGCGGAAUACUUGGUGUAGCGGUGGAAUGCGUUGAGAUCAAGUAGAACACCGGUGGCGUAGGCGGCUCUCUGGAAUGCAACUGACACUGAGGCACGAAAGUUGGGGGAGCAAACAGGAUUAGAUACCCUGGUAGUCCCAACCUUAAACGGUGCACACUUGGUGUAGGAGGAAUUGACCCCUUCUGUGCCGGAGCUAACGCGUUAAGUGUGCCGCCUGGGGAGUACGGUCGCAAGAUUA